AAUAAACGCUGGCGGCGAGCCUAACACAUGCAGGUCGAGCGAGAAAGGUCUUCGGACUGAGUAAAGCGGCGGACGGGUGAGUAACGCGUGGGAAUCUGCCCUUCAGUGAGGAAUACCUCCGAGAAAUCGGGGUUAAUACUGCAUACGUUCCGAAAGGAAGAAAGGUGGCCUCUUUGCUACCGCUGAAGGAUGAGCCUGCGUACUAUUAGCUAGUUGGUGAGGUAAUGGCUCACCAAGGCAGAGAUGGUUAGCCGGCCUGAGAGGGUGUACGGCCACAUUGGAACUGAGACACGGUCCAGACUCCUACGGGAGGCAGCAGUGAGGAAUAUUGCGCAAUGGACGAAAGUCUGACGCAGCGACGCCGCGUGGAGGAUGAA
rnacentral:rRNA from 1 species